rnacentral:ribozyme from 13 species
AUUUUUCUUUUUUUAUUUUUCUUUUUUUAGGUUUUUCUUUUUUUCUCGUGCCUGUGGGGGUUA